UUUCUGACCUCAAAAUUUGUGAGACCCGAGAGAGACCCAAUUCUCAUACCUUUUUUCCCCUUCUCCUUCUCGUCUCUCUCUUCCCUUCGCCCUAGCCGCACUCCCGUAAUCACCAUCAUCCUCAGCUCCGACCACCUAACCACCAUCCUCACACCCGUUUUUCUCCGAGCCAAGCUCCAAAUCUCAGGCACCCGUGAACCCAACCCCCGAACCAAGUGACCCCAGGUGCGAGCCCACCUCUGCGUGCCUUCGACCCAGUGCGAGCCCACCAUUGAUGAAGUUGAAAGGCGGCUUUCUUGGACCACUGGUCGUGCAACCGAUGCACUUGAUACUUUGCUAGAUGAAGGUCUUGCAAUGAUUGAUGACGGCCAUAGAGAUGGUAGACGCUGAUAUUGGUUCCCCUGCGUUUCUCCUAUUGCAUCAUCACUUGGAGUCGAUUCUUAACAGGGUUGAGGAUGUGUGGAGGUCUCAAUCCUGAAGUGG